CAGCAGCCGCGGUAAUACGUAGGGUGCAAGCGUUAAUCGGAAUUACUGGGCGUAAAGCGCACGUAGGCGGCUUGGUAAGUUAGAGGUGAAAGCCUGGAGCUCAACUCCAGAAUUGCCUUUAAGACUGCCGAGCUAGCAGGUGAGAGAGGUAAGUGGAAUUCCGAGUGUAGAGGUGAAAUUCGUAGAUAUUCGGAAGAACACCAGUGGCGAAGGCGGCUUACUGGCUCAUACUGGACGCUGAGGUGCGAAAGCGUGGGGAGCAAACAGGAUUAGAUACCCCUGUAGUCCCUGUCUUUAUACA
rnacentral:rRNA from 1 species